UGUCAAGGGAUGGGAUUCGAACCCACGACCUUCCGCUUACCGGGCAGAUGCCAUGACCACUAGGCUACCCUGGAC
rnacentral:tRNA from 1 species